CCGGAGGCUGUGACAACGAGCUGAAGCCUGACUGGUACUGACUUCUCUAAGAGGUUUCUUCUAGUAACAGACAGCUCAGACUCUUCCUCGGACUUCAGCAAAGAAGUUAUUUCUAAAAGCACUUGGGAACUUCCUCCUCCACCCCUCAGGCAAGAAGGCUCAGAGAAGAGAGUCGUCCAUACAGCCACCUUCCAGGCCAUACCGGAAUUCCUGAAGGUUAGACACCCCAUAGAAGUGGACGAAAGCUGCUGCCACCACCAGGACGUGGAAAAUCUGAUGAGACUGGAACCAUAUGUCAAAUUUUCCAGGAAAGAAGCGCUCAGGAAUCCGAGCAGCAUAAAGGUCAGCUCCGGUGAUGAACAUCACAGCCAUAAGGAAGAACCAGUCCAUCUGGCCCACUGUGGUGGCCUUGACAAAGCCCUCAUCGAUAUUAAAGUGCAUGGUGGAAGAGGAAAAGUGACUUCCCAAAGUUGACUCUGAUAUGCCCACUCAUGCAUUGGUACUUAUGACACACACACACACCAUUAUAUAAAUAAAUUGAACUAAACUAUCAGUUGAGCAACCAAAGAAGAGUUUCGAGUGCUAUGUAAACCAGUCUUUACCAACAUCUUUGGUUCAUUCAACAAGUACGGACUGAGCAUCUUGUGUAUGUCGCCUGUGGCUUGUGGGCUCUGUGGAUCCCCCAGAGAGCCCAACCCUUACGCACUUUAUUCUAAUAAGAACGAUAAGAGAUAAAGGAAGAAGCAUUACAUCCAUUGUAAAAAAAAAAAAAAAAAUCUCUGGGGAUCAAAAAGCAAAGACGAAGAAAAGAGAACGGGUUUGGUGUAAAGAACAGCAGGUUAUGUUCCAAAGGAAACUGGGGAGAGUUUCACUGCUGUAAUCUCUAAGCAGAGAACUAAAGGUGGGCCUUGCCUGAUCAGUUGAAGGCUCAGAGGCAAACACCGAGGACUCCUAAGAAGGAAGGAAUUCUAAGACAUCAACAGGGAAACCUGCCUGAGUUUUCAUCCUCUUGCCGUUCAAGGCUAGAUUACAGCACCUGCAUGUUACAAGAUUUCUGAAGACUACUGUUGCUCACACUCAAGAGGGAGCUAUUAGCUUCCAGCAAGUAGAGACAAGACUCCAACAGAGUCACCUGACCACAAAUGUCACCAGUCCCCAGUAAAGAAACACUGUCUUCUGCAUUCUGUAGGAAAUAUGCAAGAAAGAAAGACUUCCAAUAAUAGUCCUUGUCUGGAUUCAUGGAUAUGUCAAUGCCAAAUAAAGACUU